GGCGUCAUAGCUCAGUUGGUAGAGACAUCGCACUAUAGUAAACGCGAAGCUCAUGGGUUCAAAUCCUGCUGAAGUCU